UAAAAGUUUUAUUCUUGCUUUGGGGUAAUUUAUUUGAAUGUUAUAUAUACUUAUUUAUUGAUUAGAUAUUUUCUUUUGUAGUAUUUAUAAUUGGUUUUCAAGUUAGCUUGGAUCCAGCAAUUUUUUUUUGAUAAGGUAAAUCUCGUGCCAGCAACUGCGGUUAUACGAUAUUAUCUAGAUUAUUAUUUUUUUGGUAGCAGUGUUUAUUUUCUUUUGUUUUUAUUAAUUUUUAUGUAUGGUGGAAUAUCAUAUUUUUUUUUCUUUCUUAUUUUUUUUUCUGUUAAGGCUAUUUUAUAGACUAGGAUUAGAUACCCUAUUAUUUUAGAUUUAUUUUUUUUGCCAGGUUAGUAUGUUUUGUAUUUGAAAUCUAAAGAAUUUGGCGGCAUUUUAUCUUUUUAGAGGAACCUGUUCUUUAAUUGAUAUUACACGAUUGGCUCAAUUUUAUUUAUUUGUUUGUAUAUUUCCGUUAUAAGGGAAUUUAUAGAUAAUAUUCCCUCUAUUUUAUAUGAAAAUUUAUUUCAGGUCAAGGUGCAGCUUAUAGUAGAAUUUGUAAUGGGUUACAAUGAUUUAAAUUAUAUGGAUAUUUAUUUUAAAUUUUAGGUUGAAGGUGGAUUUAUUAGUAAUUUUUAAUAAUUAUUAAGUUUGAAUUAGUUCUAAUUUGUGUACAUAUCGCCCGUCGCUCUCAUUAUUGUGAGAUAAGUCGUAACAAAGUAGGUUUACUGGAAAGUGAAUCUGGAUUAUC
rnacentral:ncRNA from 1 species